ensembl:lncRNA
AUGUUAACGGGCGGGGUGGGGGGGAGAAGGGGGAGGGGGCGGCGGCGGGGGCGGGAAGGGGCCGGCGGGAGCUGCUCUCGGCUCGGCGGUCGCGGCGCCCGCAGUCUGGAGGCGCACCGGAGCGGCCGGAGCGCCCCCGCGGGAGCCCGCAGCCACCCGGGACGCGCAUCCAGCCGUGGCGCUUCGGGCCGGGCACGCUGCGCCCGGGGCUCUGCAGACCCCGCGCAGCCGCCGCUUCGGAGCUUGUGCGGCGCGGGCUGGCCAGCAAGGGCGGCCAGGGCCCGGCCCGCCUCCCUAGCGCCCGCCCGGCUUCUCCCCCUGGCGGUGGGAGCCUCGGCGGCCGCUGGCUACACUAGGCGCACUGAAGCCCGAGCUGAGCCGAGCCCGAGCCGCCGCCGCCGCCGCCGCCGCUGCUGCGCGCGGCUCCCGGGCUCCCUCCCAGCGCGCCGGCCGGGGUGUGGGGGCGGCGGGCCGGAGGGGCGAGGGCGGGCGAGGGGCGCGCACGGGGUUGGCGCGGAAGACAGGACCCUCAGCCUCGAGGGAGUCCCUCGGUGACCAGGCAAAAAACAGUUCCCUCCAGCUGGUCCUCAGAUGGGCACAUCUAUUAGCCUCUGCUCUUGUAAGAAGUUAGCUGCAGAACCCACAUGUGAAUCCUUGUAGGUGAGUCCACCAUUUCACUAAUACUGUCUGUGUUUUAAUUGCCUCAAUUAAGUCCAUCUGACAUUCAUUGGCAAAGUCCUUUGGUUAAACUUCCUAAUAAUUCUCAGCUCUAUCAUACGGUAAAUGUUUAACACAUUGCUUUAAUAUUUGAGUUUUUCAUUUUUGCUGGAGUUAUUAUUCCUCUCAGGCUUAUUCAUGAAUGCAUUUCUGGAUUUAUGCCUCCCGCGACCCAUUCCAGGAUUUACCCCAAACCUUCCACACUGUUUGCUAACAAAAGUUCUGUUAUGACACAAUAGUACUUAUUAAGACAGAUUUACCAUUUAAGUCUCAGGACAGCAUUUCACAACCAUAAAUAACUGGUUACAUGAAGAACCAGAGUCUGGUAGUAGUGAAAUUCAUUUUCCUUCUUGAAAAAGUGGAUCAAAGGAUUCAACCAACAAGUGGUGAAUCAAUAAAAAGCAGUAAAAUAGUGAGAAAAAAUGUUACCAAAAGAUCUCAAGAUUACUGAUGCAUAUGAAUUGCUUUUUUAUAUAGGAAAAUACUGGAUCAUUUCUUAUUAUCAUAGUGUAAUUAGAAGCAAUUUCAUGUGUUCAUUUUGCCACAUGAGUUUAAAUGGAAUUGGAUUUGGUUCCCUCUCUAACAUGAGUUCAGUGUCUGAACUUGGGCAAAUUUCUAAACAAUUCUGAGCUUCACUACGUCUGCUUGAAAAUGAGAACAAUUGUAUUUAUCUAUUAUUUGUCUAUUAGGUUAUGAGAGCAAAAAUGUUGUAACAUGAAACACCUGGCAUCCAGCAAGCAAUUAAUGCUAGUCCUUCCCACCCCUAUUUAUGGAGGUAGAAAGAAAAAAGAUAACAGACAGCUGUACUUUUAUUUUUACAUAUAUCCUUCAUUGAUUAUCUUAUGAGUAAAUUUUAAAACAGGCAAAAUUGCAUCUCUUCAUCCUUCAUUUCUCAGUGCUUUAUCAAAUUUCUGCUAUGAACUAAGAACUGAGUGCUAUCGGAGACACAAAGGAGAGUCAGGUAUUGUUCUGUUCUCAAGGACAUUAGCAUCUAGAAAGGGAGAUUUUUUUUAAUGCCAUUAGAGAGACAAAAUAAAGCACUGUCCUAGUUUUAAGCAGGAAAAAUCAUUUUAACCGGGGUUACCAGGAAAGGUUUCAUGGAAUAGGUAGUGUUUGGGCUUUAAAGAAUGGGUAUAGUUUGGAAAGCAAGGAGAGAGGAAAUACAAUGAGUCAUGACUGAAGCACAGUUGAUCCUUGAACAAUACAAGUUUGAACUGUGUGGGUCCACGUAUAGUGGAUUCUUGUCAUCUAGAAGUGGAUAAAAAAUAUGGUAUUCGCUGGAUGCAAAAAGCCAUGUAUAGCGAGGACCGACUUUUCCUCUACGUGGAUUCAGCAGGGUCCACUUGAGUAUACCAGGAUUUUGGUAUGCUGUGGGGUGGCCUGGAACCAAUCCCCUGCGCAUGCCAAGGGGAGGGACAACUGUAGUAUAAUUGAGAGAAAAACCAUUGCCCCAGGAUUGGAAAGACAGAUUGGCAUUACCUUGGAUGAACCACUUCUCCCCUCUAGCCUUCAGCUUCUUCACUUGUGAGAGAUGUAGAAUAAUCCCUGCCCUGUUGGUCUUUCAGGACUGUGGAGAAGAUCAAAUGGGAGCUUGGAUGUGGAAGCUCUUUGGCAACCAAGAAACACUCUGCAAAUGAAAAGGGUAUUGUUUUUCCUUUUCUCCCUUGUACCAUAAAUUUCAUGAUGGCACUUAACAGAGCCAGUCAUUUUGGUAUUUAAAAAAUGUUUGGUGAAAUAAUUAGUUAUUGGUUGAAUGAAUGAAUUUAUAAGUGAGUAAAUGAAUUAAACAAAGGUAUGGAGUAGGAAAGCACACAAUAUGAGCAGAGAAUAAGGGGUUCUUUCUGGAAGCAUGCACUAGAACUGGAUGUUAGGGAUGUGAAUGUGGCUAGCUGGAAUGGGUCUGUGGUUCUCACAAGGUGAUCUGUUGACCAGCAGUGUCAAUACCAGCGGUUAACUUGUUAGAAAUGCAAAAUAAUUAUGAAUUUGAAACUCAGGGUGGGACCCAGCAAUCUGUUUCUCUCUGGGUCAUUCUGAUGCAUAGCAAAGUUUUGAGAACCAUGACUUUGUAUUAAAGUGAGGAGUUUGGAAAUUAUUUUUCUGUAAGUUCAGUGCUAAUGAAGAUUUUCAACUGUGGGUGGACAUAAUCACAGCUGUAUUUCUAGGAUGAUAAGGCAGGAGAUUGUACAUACAAUAUCUAUGACUUCAGCAUUAAAAGGACAAUUAGAAGUACUGGAAAACACACUGUAUUUGCCAAGCUCCAGAGAUG